rnacentral:rRNA from 1 species
AUGGCUUCAUCCGGUUCCAUGACGAGGCCACCGUGUGCUAACCAAGAAGACAUGCCGAACAAGUGGGAGGUCGCAUCUUUGGACAAGGUGAAGGAGAAAGAUGUCAACAUCCCGCAAUGUUGGUGUGCAGAUGUUUGCAAGGUGAAGGUGUCCACCGACCGAAAGAAAGCAUGGACGGAAGGGCGGAGAUAUUUUGUAUGCCCGAACUAUGCUUAUGAUCGUGCACUUCCAACUAAUGCCUAUGACCAACCACCGGUAAGCUCGAGAAGUAAAAUGUUACUCUGA